CACAUACUCCCUCCGUCUGAAAAUACUUGUCAUAGAAAUGGAUACAAAUGGAUGUAUCUAAAACUAAAAUACAUCUAGAUACAUCCAUUCCUUAGACAAGUAUUUCCGGACGGAGGGAGUACAUU
rnacentral:pre_miRNA from 1 species